rnacentral:tRNA from 1 species
UAGGACGUGGUGUCAUAGGUACCACAGAGAAUUUUGGAUUCUCAGGGGUAGGUUAAAUUCCUUUAGUACUAG